rnacentral:tRNA from 1 species
AUCGUUGUGGCGUAGUGGCAGCGUCUGAUUGUAAGCGCUAUGGUCGUAGUUUCGAUUACUACUUAGGAGA